AGAGUUUGAUCCUGGCUCAGGAUGAACGCUGGCGAGAUGCUUUACACAUGCAAGUCAUACGAGAGUUUUUAACUCAAGUGGCGGACGGGUGAGUAACACGUAAGAAUUUGCCUUUAGGAGGGGGAUAACAGUUGGAAACGACUGCUAAUACCCCAUAUGCUUUUGAGUGAAAUGGAUUUUUCCGCCUAGAGAGAAGCUUGCGCCUGAUUAGCUUGUUGGUGAGGUAAUGGCUCACCAAGGCGACGAUCAGUAUCUGGUUUGAGAGGACGAUCAGACACACUGGAACUGAGACACGGUCCAGACUCCUACGGGAGGCAGCAGUGGGGAAUUUUCCGCAAUGGGCGAAAGCCUGACGGAGCAAUCUCGCGUGAGGGAUGACGGCCUAUGGGUUGUAAACCUCUUUUUUCAGGGAGGAAUCAAUGACGUGUACCUGAAGAAUAAGCAUCGGCUAACUCCGUGCCAGCAGCCGCGGUAAGACGGAGGAUGCAAGUGUUAUCCGGAAUCACUGGGCGUAAAGCGUCUGUAGGUGGUUUAGUAAGUCAACUGUUAAAUCUUGAAGCUUAACUUCAAAAUCGCAGUCGAAACUAUUAAACUAGAGUAUAGUAGGGGUAAAGGGAAUUUCCAGUGGAGCGGUGAAAUGCGUAGAGAUUGGAAAGAACACCGAUGGCGAAUGCACUUUACUGGGCUAUUACUGACACUCAGAGACGAAAGCUAAGGUAGCAAAUGGGAUUAGAUACCCCAGUAGUCCU
rnacentral:rRNA from 1 species